rnacentral:lncRNA from 1 species
UGGGCGGCCUGUGCGGGCGGCAGAGCAGGGGCCAACCGUGGGCGGUGGCGCGGGGGACACGUCAUGCGCUGGAGCGCAAGCCCAGCCGCGCCUGGCCUCGUGCGGGCGGCUGAGCAGAGGAGCAGCUGCGGCUAGCCUCGCACGCGCGGCGGAGCGGGGGCCUCGCCAUAGGCGGCGUAGCGGGAGCCUGGCGCCGGCAGCUGCGCGGGGGCCUGGCCUCGGCUCGGGGGCCUCGUCGCGGGAGCGGCAGCGGCAGUGGACGCGAGGCGGCUGCGACUGUUUCUCGUCCCAACCUCGUGCUGCAGAUCCGGCAGUGGCGAGCUCCGUUGGCGUUGUCAGGCCCUCCGCCGGCGACCAUAAGCGGGAAAAUGGGCGCCGCGAGGAGGACGGUGAGCGCAGCGGCGCUACGACACAACUAGAAUUGUAUCUUUUCCUGAGUGUUUCCAAUUUGGUGGCCGACGGUUAACAGCUAACGGUGAGAGUUUCAGACCAUACAGCAUUUGGUCGGUGAUUCAUCACCAGUUUGAAAAUUUGUGAAGAUUCUCGAUCCCCGUCGGUCAUCUGUUGGAAACGCGCAGCAAAACAUGCGAUUCUUGUUGUGGAGCUUCCAGCCGUGGCCCCCGCAAAGCGGCGUGGGAGGAAACCGCGCCCGCCUCAACGCGGUUCUGGCAGUCUUUGCCGCUUGGAGAAUGUGCCGACACUGUUUCGUGUACAAACAAUGUCUUCAUUUUCUCCCUUCUCUCCUCGUUGACUCUCCCGCCGUAUCUUCAUUUACUUAUGUAGCAAUUUAUUUAUUAAUGGUAUGGACACCAGCUGACCUAGAGGGUUUGGCAGUACCCUUUGGUGGCCAUUGUUGCCUGCUUCAGCUAUCGACUCAUCUCGAUAAAAGAUACACUCCGAGAGUUAGAGCCUAGUCCUUGCACACCUCGCUACCAACUACCGGCUAUCAAUGAUACUUAUCCCUGUUUGUUUGAGAUUAUAAUCUAUCUAGAUUAUAUAAGCUAAAUUAUGGGUCAUGGGUACUAUGGUAAAAGAUCAUAUUGGGAUCAUAAAUAAUUUUAAAUAAGCUAGUCUUGGCAGCUUAUUUCAGAUUAUAUGUAGUCCCAUGAUGAUCUUUUACCCUACUACCUUUGAACUAUAAUCUAGCUUAUAUAAUCUAGGAGGGAAAUAAACCAUCACCUAGUAGGUUCCAUCUAUAUAAGAUAUAGAUAUAGAUUUGCCUGCUGCCUAAUUUGAUCUAGGCAGCUAAUACCUGCAUGUCAGCCAAAUUAAUUAAAACAAGAAGCGCCAACGCUUAAUUCCCAUUCAAUUGCAAGUUUUGUAUUUGAGUAAUAACUACUACAAACUUACUACAUGUCGGCUUCUGCAAAUAUUUAUAUUUUUGAAUACACAAAUUCAGUGGAAAUAUUAAAGCAGCAAAUAAAAACAUACAUUUUGAUUCAGCAAGGAUCUGUGUAUUUUCAAGUUGGAAAUUCUAGACCCUAUCUUCCAGCUUAAAUGGCGCAUGUAUCUUCAUGUGCGCAUCUAACAUGGUUUAAAAUUAUUUAACCGGACUUGACUUAGCCAAAACUUUGUUAUCAAUUGGGUCUUUCAAUCUUUUUACUUACACACGAACUAACCAGGAGGACUCUACAUAAUGGAUGCUCGAUCGACUGACUUGACUUUUCGUCCCGGUUGCAUUAAAUAAAUUGGAUAUGUAAUACGUACUUAUCAUAUGGUACUACACAUAGAAACUAUAUUCCUAAUAGAUGGUUUGAUGAAAAUUAAUUCUCGUCCAUUGCCCUAUUUUAUGUCUACUUUCCUCUCCUUAUAUCCCCUCCUUCCUUCCUUCGUUUUCGUGUUGAGUUGGUUUCUUGCUUGAGAAAAUAUUUCCUUCUCCCUCGUCCUUAACUACAUUACCGAAUCAUCAUUCUGCUUACAUGCAGAAACCAUUCAUCCUAGCCAUCCCAUUGGGAUUGCCCCCAAUAGGUUAGACUUUCUCCUUGCAUGCUUUAAUCUUUUAUUUAUGGGUUUGGAGCCUUCAUCAAAGCAUCGAAUGCAAUAAGUUGGAUUGUGUUCCCCUUGCACAGAGAUUCAUAGACUUGUCGAACUCCCACGCCCACCCCUCCACAUAAGCAUAGUGCCCCUACAUUGGGUCUCCUUCCCUCUUCCUUUCCGGCGAGCUGCUGUUAGGAAGAGACAAGGAGGAUCCAUCCCUAUAAUAAAUCUGGUACUUGUUGACGUUUCAUCCAAAUAAAACAUCCAUCUGUCUUCACCUUGGUCAAUAAUGGUAAUGGUGAAUCUUUUGCUAUUGAUGCCGCCUUCUAAAAUAAGAGUCCUCCGGCUCUCUCUUGGGCUCACUAGUGUUCCAUCCGGAACAAGUGAUGCGGUUGCAUUGAUGGAUGGCAGCAUAGGAGCAGGAUCAGGCUUGAGGCACGGUCUUGUCGAUGUUUCUCCAGCGAUUGUAUAGAUUCGUUCGUCAGGAUGGGUGACUAGUCUGGUCUUAAAAAGCUUUUAUGUGAUUGGAAUUUAUCCAUGACUUAUUUCGUUGCUCUGUGCAGAGAAAUGAGCAGUAGUUUCGGGAAGUCACGCGAUUUUGCACGCAAAAUAUACGUGUGCGCGGGAUUUGAACCCACAACUUCAAGCCUCGCGUGUAGCUUUCUUACCAUCUCAUCUACACAGCACAUCUAACUAAGUAGGGGAUACAAUCCUUUUGCAGUAACUCGUGAGGGACCCUUUAGUACCAAUCGGGACUAAAGGUGUCUCCACGAACUUCGAAAUUUAGACUCGGGACUGAAGCCUCUUUAAUCCUGGAUAAAAACAAUCAAGAUUUUUAUUAAGGAUGUAAUAAUGUCGUUUUUUCACUAGUGCUGUCUAUUUAUCCUCUCUUCCACUAGCGGCAGGAUCGGCUGUGAUAGAGUAUAGCAUAUGGUGGCCAUGGUUGCAAUAGAUACCGUGGAGAAGACAUCUUUAUCUAAUUUAUUGUAGUUUUCUUUUUUGGCAUGACCUAUUAUGGAUUGGUUCAUGUAUCUCCAUAUAGGUCAUAUUAACUCGAUCUGAACUUGAUGCCUGUGAAUUUAAUGAUGCGCUUGUUGAUCAAUGUUGGGUGGUCUCAACAGCAAAAGAAUCCAUCAGCAUGCCUUGUUCCAUUAAUCGAGAUUAUGUUUCCUUCACCGCAAAUGCCAUUCGUUUGGCAAUGGUAUUUGUUCCCACUCAAUCUGUUAUCCUUUAAGACAACCUGUUAACCCAGCAUAUACCAAACUAACGCAUACUACAUCUUAUUUCAGAUACGUUAGAGGGAGAAUCAGUCAACCAUAAACAUCAAUGUAGAAUAUAAACACUCUGUUAGUUAAAUGCCACUGCUUUCGAAAUCUCAACCUCCUCUUCAUCCCUGUUGACAUAUUUCUGCCAGUCACACCAUGAUACGAAGAGAUUUUUUUCUGUUAGUACAGGGCAAGCUAGCCACUGCCAGGAUCCAAAGUCAGUAUGGCAUCGAAGAGUAAAGUAUAGUAAAACGUAAUAUUCAUAGAUUAAAAAAAGUUUGCGAGGUUUUCAUCUCUUUGAUGCAAUGUCACUGUCGCCCCAACUAACGUCACAUGUGAUGGAGUUAUGGAGACACUUGACCAGUUAAUGCUGGACAACCCCUCGAAGGCAGUUUCUCAUAUGAGAAAGUGUUUGGUUGACCAGUUUUAAUGCCCCAAAACUAACGUAGGUGUGUGGGUAGACUAUUUCAUCUCAUGCUGCACGAUCAAGGGAACUGUUUAUUACCUUUUAAAUUUUUGAACCUUAGGCUCCAGCAAAAAAAAA